GAUGAAGAACGCAGCGAAAUGCGAUAAGUAAUGCGAAUUGCAGAAUCCGUGAAUCAUCGAAUCUUUGAACGCACAUUGCGCCCCCUGGUAUUCCGGGGGGCAUGCCUGUUCGAGCGUCAUUUCACCACUCAAGCCUCGCUUGGUAUUGGGCAACGCGGUCCGCCGCGUGCCUCAAAUCGACCGGCUGGGUCUUCUGUCCCCUAAGCGUUGUGGAAACUAUUCGCUAAAGGGUGUUCGGGAGGCUACGCCGUAAAACAACCCCAUUUCUAAGGUUGACCUCGGAUCAGGUAGGGAUACCCGCUGAACUUAAGCAUAUCAAUAAGCGGAGGA
rnacentral:misc_RNA from 1 species